AUCCAGCUGGGCACAGGCAAAGGAGCUGCCUUGGCUUGGUGAGGCUCCUGGUGUUCAAGCCCUUGUUACUACCUGGCAUUGCAUGCACGACUGAAUGGCUAGCAACUGGACCAGUGAUGUCUUUUUUUGUUUUGUUUUGUUUUUUGUUUUUUGUUUUUUGUUUUUUGUUUUUUGUUUUUUGUUUUAUCAAGAGCUGUGUUCACCACUGCACAUAUCCUCCAAGGGCCAUGAGAACAAGAAGACUGUGAGCAUUAGCAAAGGUGUUCAUAAUCAAGGAGGCCAGGAGGCGUCUCCGGAGGGAGACAGUAGUGCCUAGGAAGAGGCUGCGAGCCCCUCAUAUGCUCGCAAGCAUCAAGCAUCGUUGUCAAAUCUAGCUCACUCACUCAAAAGAUUGUAUGCUCUGAGGCUGACAGUGUGCUGGGUUCUGAGGACAGAUCCGAUCAGCAGAGUUGGCUCCCGGACCUUCCCAAAGCUCACAGACGAUGUCUGUUCCCAGUGGCGCUAGGCAGUGCAAAAGAAAUCAGCUACUCUGAAAACACAGAGGACCAGUCAGGUGGGGAGUGGUCCAGGGACAUGAUACAGGAGUUAGUGGGAAGGAAGGAUGCCCCAGGUAGAUGCUCAGAACAAGGACUCAGGGAACAGGAUAGAGGAGAGAGAUGGAUGGCCAAAACCAGAUCAUGACUGCCCUCUCCCUCCAUGGCAGGGAGCCUGGAUGGCUCAAGUCUCAAGUGGAAGCCGAAGGGUUUUAAAUCAAGGCAAUGACUCACCGAAAAAUGGUCUAUAAGCAUGAACCUAGCUGCCAAGAAGGCAAAAGAUUGGAAGGGCGAGGCAGGAGAGACAGAAGGGCCAAUUAGAAGGCCCUACUCCAUCAGCGGAGUGGCAAGGAGACUCAGAACAAUCUCUUUGGGCCGUUUGAACACUGAUUGCUGGUGAUCUUCCCCGGCCCCCUGUGAUUGUGGCGACUCUGAACUGUAGCGAGGAAAAAGCCAUCUAAUUACGCCGGCCUGCUAACACGCUCAGCCCUGCCCAGCGGCCACAUCCACAGCCAGGAGACCUGUGGCUCCCUCAUGCAGCAAAGCGGGAUCUCAGGUGGGAGUCGGCUGCUGUUUCACACCCAAGCGCCCCAUGCUGUCACGUCCUGAGAAAGCCCUGGAUAUUAUGCCUGAUCAUGUCUGCUAAGCAAGUGGUCAGGAUCGCCUAGUCAAUUACUAGUCAAGUGGAAUAAUGUGAUCUCAUUAGGAACUCGUCCUCACAGAUGCGCGAGGCUGCGUGUGAGAUGAAACACUCCAGCUAUUUUUUUUUCAGCCAGUGAUUAGGUGCCGUAAUUAAGAAGGCAUUGUACC
rnacentral:lncRNA from 1 species